UACAGAGGCGGCAAGCGUUGUUCGGAAUUAUUGGGCGUAAAGAGCACGUAGGCGGCUGUGUAAGUCGGUUGUGAAAGCCUUCCGCUCAACGGAAGAACGGCAUCCGAUACUGCAUGGCUUGAGUGUGGGAGGGGAGAGUGGAACUUCUGGUGGAGCGGUGAAAUGCGUAGAUAUCGGAAGGAACACCAAUGGCGAAGGCAGCUUCCUGGCCCAAUACUGACGCUCAGGUGCGAAAGCGUGGGGAUCAAAC
rnacentral:rRNA from 1 species